UUAUGGCUCAGGAUGAACGCUGGCGGCGUGCCUAACACAUGCAAGUCGAACGAAGACCCCGAGGCAGAGAUUCGGUCGAAGCCGAAGGGAGGACUGAGUGGCGGACGGGUGAGUAACGCGUGGAUAACCUGCCCCAUACAGGGGGAUAGCAGUUGGAAACGACUGAUAAUACCGCAUAAGCGCACGGGGAGACAUCUCUUUGUGUAGAAAAGAUUUAUCGGUAUGGGAUGGGUCCGCGUCCGAUUAGCAAGAUGGCGGGGUAAAGGCCCACCAAAGCGACGAUCGGUAGCCGGCCUGAGAGGGCGGACGGCCACAUUGGGACUGAGACACGGCCCAGACUCCUACGGGAGGCAGCAGUGGGGGAUAUUGCACAAUGGGGGGAACCCUGAUGCAGCGACGCCGCGUGGGUGAAGAAGUAUUUCGGUAUGUAAAGCCCUAUCAGCAGGGAAGAAAGUGACGGUACCUGAGUAAGAAGCCCCGGCUAACUACGUGCCAGCAGCUGC
rnacentral:rRNA from 1 species